rnacentral:lncRNA from 1 species
UCGACGAAAAUGCUGGCAUAUUACGUAAGGUUGAGUUGAUGUCUUGUGAUAAUUAACUGAGACAACAACCAACUAAAUGUGUUGUCGCCUGUAAAAUCUACCACACGAUAGUGAACCAAUGGAAACAAGGAGGGGAAACACACAUGUCCGUAGCUACAUCAAUGGCAAGGCCUAGCAACCAAGCUGACAAAGGUUACAGGAAUCCACCCUUUAAAUGAAGACACUUUUGAGGAGACAUAGUUUGGCGCUUCCUAUGUAACAGAUCGCCCUCAGCCUUGUCAAGAUGCGACCGUGAACGGCAACGACUCAACUUAUGGGGGUACGGAAGCAGUUGAAAGCCAAGCCAGCAGUGAAAUUUCUACACAGCAAGUCGAGUCGGACUUGCAAACCAUUUAUGCGAUUAUGUUGUUAUGUUGUGUGUUCUUAUUUGAAGCUACAUUGUUAUGAUUUUACAAUUAGAAAAUUUCAAGGAUACUAUAGACUUUUGAAUAAGUGAGUGUCUUUGAAACUUGAAUGUAAGUUUAAAUAGACAGAACAUUUUAAGGAUACUAUUAAUAUUUU